CAGCAGCCGCGGUAACACGAAGGGUGCAAGCGUUACUCGGAAUUACUGGGCGUAAAGCGUGCGUAGGUGGUGGUUUAAGUCCGUUGUGAAAGCCCUGGGCUCAACCUGGGAAUUGCAGUGGAUACUGGGUCACUAGAGUGUGGUAGAGGAUAGUGGAAUUUCCGGUGUAGCAGUGAAAUGCGUAGAGAUCGGAAGGAACAUCUGUGGCGAAGGCGACUAUCUGGGCCAACACUGACACUGAGGCACGAAAGCGUGGGGAGCAAACAGGAUUAGAUACCCGUGUAGUCCCUGUCUCUUAUAC
rnacentral:rRNA from 1 species